GGCACCUGGGAUGGGAAGAAAGGUUUCCAGGCUUCACUCAUCACACGGAAAACCCAGCUCAGAGUUGGCUUAAAUCCCCCAGUAAGGAAGAGCAGAAAGAAAUCACGCAGAUCUGGGAUGGAGGUAGCCCUCAUCCAUCAUGCUGUCUGGGGCUGCUUUGCAUACAGAUAGUACAAGAGAGAAGAGACUGAAUUGUGAUAGCUGGAACCAUGGAUGAGAGAACAACACACACCCAUCAGAAAAUGUGCCUGGAGCACCUCCUGGGUGGCAGCCUGUUGCAGCAGCAUUCAUGAGU
rnacentral:lncRNA from 1 species